AGGGUUUGAUCCUGGCUCAGAUUGAACGCUGGCGGCAUGCCUUACACAUGCAAGUCGAACGGCAGCACGGGGGCAACCCUGGUGGCGAGUGGCGAACGGGUGAGUAAUAUAUCGGAACGUGUCCUGUAGCGGGGGAUAACCUAUCGAAAGAUGGACUAAUACCGCAUACGACCUACGGGUGAAAGCGGAGGACUCUCGGGCAACUGAGGGCUUCGCACUAUAGGAGCGGCCGAUAUCGGAUUAGCUAGUUGGUGAGGUAAAAGCUCACCAAGGCGACGAUCCGUAGCUGGUCUGAGAGGACGACCAGCCACACUGGAACUGAGACACGGUCCAGACUCCUACGGGAGGCAGCAGUGGGGAAUUUUGGACAAUGGGCGCAAGCCUGAUCCAGCCAUGCCGCGUGAGUGAAGAAGGCCUUCGGGUUGUAAAGCUCUUUCGGCGGGGACGAAAUGGUUCGUGCUAAUACCACGGACUGAUGACGGUACCCGCAGAAGAAGCACCGGCUAACUACGUGCCAGCAGCCGCGGUAAUACGUAGGGUGCAGGCGUUAAUCGGAAUUACUGGGCGUAAAGCGUGCGCAGGCGGUUUGUUAAGACAGAUGUGAAAUCCCCGGGCUUAACCUGGGAACUGCGUUUGUAACUGGCAGACUGGAGUGUGGCAGAGGGGGGUGGAAUUCCAAGUGUAGCAGUGAAAUGCGUAGAUAUUUGGAGGAACACCGAUGGCGAAGGCAGCCCCCUGGGCUAACACUGACGCUCAUGCACGAAAGCGUGGGGAGCAAACAGGAUUAGAUACCCUGGUAGUCCACGCCCUAAACUACGUCAACUGGUUGUCGGGGAAGCAAUUCCUUGGUAACGAAGCUAACGCGUGAAGUUG
rnacentral:rRNA from 1 species